GAUGAACGCUAGCGGCAGGCUUAACACAUGCAAGUCGAGGGGUAGAGGCUUUCGGGUCUUGAGACCGGCGCACGGGUGCGUAACACGUAUGCAAUCUGCCUUGUACUGGGGGAUAGCCCAGAGAAAUUUGGAUUAAUACCCCAUAGUAUUUUCGGUUGGCAUCAACUGAUUAUUAAAGUUUUUCGGUACAAGAUGAGCAUGCGUCCCAUUAGCUAGUUGGUAUGGUAACGGCAUACCAAGGCUACGAUGGGUAGGGGUCGUGAGAGGGAGAUGCCCCACACUGGUACUGAGACACGGACCAGACUCGUACGGGAGGCAGCAGUGAGGAAUAUUGAUCAAUGGUCGCAAGACUGAACCAGCCAUGCCGCGUGCAGGAUGAAGCAUCUAUGGUGUGUAAACUGCUUUUGUACGGGAAGAAACACUCCUACGAGUAGGGGCUUGACGGUACCGUAAGAAUAAGGAUCGGCUAACUCCGUGCCAGCAGCCGCAGUAAAAC
rnacentral:rRNA from 1 species